AAACCAGCACAAACGUAGCACUAACGAUUGGGACUAUUUUGAUGAGAUUUGGGCGUGAACGGGGGGGCUGGGUGACGUCACAUGCCAGAAAAUGCAAUUUUGAAUUACUCAAAAUCCUUACCAGCACAAACGAUAAUUUUUACGGCACAAACCAGCACAAACCUAGCACAAACGAACAGCAGUGUCAUUUUAAUAUUUUGAAUGAGACGGGGGGCCAACUUCACACAGGUGGCAACGUGUGGGUACGGACUGGAGGGAGUUUCUGUUUCAUUUCCCGAAAGGAGCCCAGCAAAAGGUCCUCCAUAUCUCCACACCACGACAUCGCAACAGUAAAGUGAACCUUCACCUGAACCUCGGCCCACAAUGGACCCCAAGAAGUGCCACCCGGGUUGGACGGCGGCCGGCAUGAUAGCCAUGCUGGUCACGGUUCUGGUCAUCACGGGCGGACUCCUGUUCGCCCUGAAGGGCGCCACACAAGCUAUUAACCUCCAGCGCCAGUGCCCCCCCAGGGACCGCCCCCGCGACGACGACAAGAGCAUGACCGCCAUCCUCGAGAGGAUGAGGGAGAUCGGCUUGCCGCCGCCCAGGGUCGAGAGUUGGAUGACGGUGUUCAGCGUCUGCGCCCAGGCCAUGGUGGCGGUGUCUGUGGCGCUCACGAUGGUGGUGGUGCUGUGGCUGAAGAAGGCGUGCACCAGAGCCAGGGUUAUCCCCCGGAUGAGGAGACGCCUGGGGUGCGUGUCGGAGGAGCCUCCCACCCCACAACUCCUUGCUGCCGGAUGACCCGGCCUCCCCCGGUGCUGUUGACCAGGCGUAGCUCUGUACGAUCGUCGUGGUUGUUGGUGAGCUGGCGUCGCUGCUGUCUGUUGGUCGGGACCGCCUGCUGUCAUGUCGGAUGGCGCGGCUUCAACUUUCGAUUCACGAUCAUGACUUUGAGCGCGGUUGGGAAACUGAUUCUGUUUGGGUUUAUUUGGUGAAGGAUCGUUGGCCGUGUGUGGAUGUAUGUUGACCUCUAGGACUAAAUUCAUUGUAAAAGGGUUCUUUGCUUUAAGUUCAGGUUGUGGAAUUGGAAAUUAGUUUUAAAAUGUUGUUUCAAAAAUACUGUUUUAUAUAUUUCUCUGAUUGUGUGUGAAAAUGAGUGUGGAAAGUGCCUUCUGUGCCUGACUGUGUCUUAAACAGCACACGGCAAACCCCUUUCAUUCAGAGAACUCGCCCUGUACUACAACUUCUGCUUUGCUUUAAUAAAUCUCUAUUUUUACAAAGUCAGUGACCUGUGUCCGUG
ensembl:lncRNA